CUGCUCGCUUCGGCAGCACACAUACUGAAAUUGGAACGAUACAAAGAAGAUAAGCAUGGCCCCUGCGCAAGGAUGACACGCAAAUUCUUGAAGCAGUCCAUAUUUUU
rnacentral:snRNA from 1 species